rnacentral:lncRNA from 1 species
AGCAGCUUCAACUUUAGUGUCUGAAUCACUAUCUGUCAAAUCCACCAUUUCUGGAUCUGAUGCUACGUUUUCCACGAUAGCCACCUCGUCCGAUUUGGGUUCCUGGUAAGCUUCUAUUUCAGCUGUUGGCCUCGAUAUUAGCUCGGGGGUAUGGAUCUGAUCCUUCUUAUUCCACAUAUCUUUUCCAUCAGACGUCUACAUACAUAGGUUACCCUGAUUAGCAUAUAGUAUAUAUACACAGCAAUCAAGAGUUUUAUAUACGUUGUCUCUUAUUUUGUUUGACGAUAAAUUUAUUCAAUUCUCAUCAACGCCUAUCUCUCUGCCGAAAGGCAGCU